rnacentral:lncRNA from 1 species
GAGGGCGGGACACGGACCGCGGCCGCCUGCGGCUCCGAAGCUCGGGGUCUCCUGGGGCGCGGGGCCGCGGGGCCGAAGACCCCGAUCUGCAGCCUCUGCGAGGCCUCGUCCUUCACUGUGCAGAUGCGAAGCUUUCAAGGACACGUCUGCACCGGCCCAGCGGGGGUGCAGCCGCCGAGUGGAGGCCAGCCCACUCAACAGGACGAAGGUCGAGGCGCCAGCUUCACCCCUUUGAGGGCACAGGAACAGAGUUACCUAACUCUUUGAGACAUGGAACCCAACUUUCGUCCAAGAAGUUUUCCUUCUGGAAGGAAUGCUCCCACAACCAACAGUCUUCCCCACUCCCCAGCCUCAAGGUCAGAGGCCACUCUCCACACAAUCGUCCUGGCCUCUUUCAGUGUCAGCCUCACUCAAGUGGUCACCCCAUGCCACUGAUGACAGGCCCUGCUAUCCGUGGAUUCACCUGUCCAGUUCCAGAGACUCAUGCUGUUUCCCCCUUGAGGACAGGAACCACAUCUGUAGCUUGGCACCUGACGCCCAGUAGGUUCUCAAUAAACAUCUGUUGAAUGAAUGUGUGCAUUGCAGGCUCCUUGCCGCUUUGCUUUCCACAUCAAGACAGGCACCCGCAAAUACUCUGAAGCAUGGCUAAGGGGAAGGCCGUGUUCAGAAAGAUGGCGCCAUGCCUCUCCCUUCCUCAAGGGCUUAUAUAAUACUGCCCCCAAAUAGCAGCGACUGUUUCCUGAGUGCCUCCUGUGCGCCAGGCACCGGACCUGGCACAUUUCCCUUAGUCCUUGCCGAACCUAUGUGGUAGUUUAUAUUAUCCUCACUCUACAGAGGAAGAAACUGAGGCUUAGUCAAAGCCACACAGUUGGGGAAGUCACAGAACCAGGAUUCAAAACCUGGUCCAUCGGACCCUGACAUCACCACCUCACACUUUUAAAACAUUAUAGUUGCUCUCCACAAGCUGAGAUUCUCAGGUCAAGAAGAGCAAAGUUAAGUUUCUAUUGAGUAGAACUAUUUAUGAUGAAGUCACUGGGAGCCCAAAAUGUGUGUGACCUUGGAUAUCUGUGUUGCUGGGGUCAAG